rnacentral:rRNA from 1 species
CCUACGGGAGGCAGCAGUGGGGAAUAUUGGGCAAUGGAGGCAACUCUGACCCAGCAACGCCGCGUGAAUGAUGAAGGUCUUCGGAUUGUAAAGUUCUGUGAUGGGGGAUGAACACAAUGACGGUACCCCAAUAGCAAGCCACGGCUAACUACGUGCCAGCAGCCGCGGUAAUACGUAGGUGGCAAGCGUUAUCCGGAAUGACUGGGCGUAAAGGGGGCGUAGGUGGUUUAGUAAGUUGGCGGUGUAAUUCCGGGGCUCAACCUCGGCGCUACCGCCAAAACUAUUAGGCUAGAGUGCAGGUGGGGUAAGUGGAAUUCCUAGUGUAGCGGUGGAAUGCGUAGAUAUUAGGAGGAACAUCAGGGGCGAAGGCGACUUACUGGACUGUAACUGACACUGAGGCACGAAGGCGUGGGGAGCAAACAGGAUUAGAUACCCUGGUAGUC